rnacentral:rRNA from 1 species
UGCCUAAUACAUGCAAAGUCGAACGCUUCUUUUUCCACCAGGAGCUUGCUCCACCGGAAAAAGAGGAGUGGCGAACGGGUGAGUAACACGUGGGUAACCUGCCCAUCAGAAGGGGAUAACACUUGGAAACAGGUGCUAAUACCGUAUAACAAUCAAAACCGCAUGGUUUUGAUUUGAAAGGCGCUUUCGGGUGUCGCUGAUGGAUGGACCCGCGGUGCAUUAGCUAGUUGGUGAGGUAACGGCUCACCAAGGCCACGAUGCAUAGCCGACCUGAGAGGGUGAUCGGCCACAUUGGGACUGAGACACGGCCCAAACUCCUACGGGAGGCAGCAGUAGGGAAUCUUCGGCAAUGGACGAAAGUCUGACCGAGCAACGCCGCGUGAGUGAAGAAGGUUUUCGGAUCGUAAAACUCUGUUGUUAGAGAAGAACAAGGAUGAGAGUAACUGUUCAUCCCUUGACG